ensembl:lincRNA Mirt1 myocardial infarction associated transcript 1
GGCUUUGGACUGAGCGCUCUGGACCCAUUAAUGCAAGGUCUGACUCUUCCAGACUGAGAGACUGCUGAAGGAAGAAGCAGUGACCCACGGCUGAGUACAGUGGCCAGGGUUCCAGGGUACACAUCUGUCAAUUCACCCCUCUGGAGGCAUGGGCUGCUGGGAGGUGAAAGAGUUCAUACAGCCAACCAGGAAGCAGUCACUCUGACAAGCCAAGCGAAGAGAUGUUUGGCCACCUGCAUCUGACUUCUAGAUCGGCUUCUGUUCUUGGGACCAGCAAUGCUUGAAUGAAAAGCUCUGCUGAUUGCCUGCUGCAGAGAAGCCUGGACCCACAGGGCACCGGGCAUGAAGGAAAGCAAGCGGUUCCGUGUUGAAGGCAAGGGUCUCUGUCCUGCAGCAGGUAUGCAGAAAGUCGCCUCCGUGGUGGAAGGGUCUGAGUGGUAUAGACCCCAUAGCACAGCCUCCUUCGCCUCACACUCUCCGUGAUCUCCCCAGUCUCCUCUGAACAGCCAUAAAGCUAGUCAUUAAAAUGUGCCUCAAGGUCGGCAAUCAAUCUCAAGGGGGUUUUAGUUUAUUGUCUGGAGGAGGAAGCCUUCCACUGCCUCUCUUGUCACUGAAGAGGCAUCACAUAAAGGACCCUUUAAUCUCACCCAGACAUCUCAUGGGGCACCAUGGCGAGUAAGUCCCCUCCCUGGCAAACACACGGGCUCGUUAACAGGGACCUUUACCACCAGUGACACAAUGGAACUUUCUUUAUAAGGGUUGAAAGGGCACAGGAGUUGCAAAAUGUCUUAAGGGCCAUGAAUUGUAGACUCCUUCCUGCCCCUCUGCCUGGGGUCAAAUGUGGGGACACUCAUGCAUCGGUGCUAUGCCUCCUAUCCACUGUGCACCUUGCUCAUAGGUAUGUGGCCCUGUCAGAUUUCUCUGUCCAGGACCAUGUCUCUGUCUUGCCUGAUAUCCCCACUGGUGUGUCUCUCACAGUGCGGUGUAGUAUGAGGACACUCAGUGUGAAGAAUGUAAGCCACAGGGAGCCAGCUAAGGAACAUAGAAUCCUUGAGUUCACUCUGACUCAACACUGGGGUUUUGGGCCUUGUAGGAUACUUAGCAGUAUCCCUGAUCUCCACCAGUGUGAUACCAACAGCAGCCUGCCAACCUGCUGGACAACCAAAACUGUCCCCAUACAUUGCUCUGGGACAAAUUACCUGGCUGUGCCAACAGUGUGCAUGGCAGAAGUCUGUGUACAGAGAGCAUCAGAGAGCAGACACUGAUGUUUGGGAUGCCCACGGGACCUUGUCUGGAGAUGGAGGUGGGGAUGUGUGUGGUACCUUUCCCACACUCUCCACGGAAGCUCUUUGUCAUUCCUCUUUAGAAGGUGUCAGGAAAAGGGGGGCUGCUGUGGUCAGAACCCUUGCUAUUUUAUUAUUAGCUAUUACGAAGCACCGAAAGCCCCGAACUUGGCUGAAGUGCCCUCUUGAGACAAGUUAUGGGAUGUGGGAUGACUGUCUGUUUUCAGCGUCCAGCACUCAGGGAUUGGGGCAAGCCCAUCAGCCUAAGAUGGCGAAAACUAUGGUGCUAGCACCCAUUACAUCAAUUUGUGAGAAAACUACGCAAUAAAUGGCAUCUCUUACUGUUCCUG